rnacentral:ribozyme from 1 species
AGAAAUGGAGAAAAAGAGACGAAAAAGGAGAAAGAAGAACAAGAUGGGACAGAAUCACAAUUGAAGUUUUAUACCCGCACCGACCUGAGACGCCUCUAUUCUGCGCCCUUGCCUACUUCUUCUGAUACUGCAACUCUGACUACUGAAAAGGAGGGUAGGAAAACUCGCAUGUAAUGAAAGUGCAAGACCCCUUUGUAUCUUUUAAAUCAGUCUCUUACAAUUCU